AUGCCACACAUUCUGCUUCCCAGACCCCUGCCUGGGAAGAGUGGGACUCCACAGGUCUGGGGGAAGCCUGGGAGUGGCACCUAUGAGCAGCUGCCUCGGAGAUUCUUAAUCAUUUUACAGAUACCUCCAGAGCACUUAACCAUGUGCUCUGCUGGUCUCUGGGGACACAGAGAUGCAUGGCUCUUGGGACAGUCGCAUUGGGAAGAUCCCGUCUGCUCAGAGCUCAGCUGCUGGCUGCUUCCUCUAUCAAACCCUCACCCAAGGCCUGUCUCGGGCAGAAGCACCUGUCACCCCAGCCUUGACACCGGGCCAAUUAUCUUAGACACCUGGAUGAGACAACAGCCUGGAUCAUCCCCCUCAGGCCACAACACCAGCACAAGGUCCAGACCACCGCCAGGCAGACCUCAGUGCCUGAGAUGCCGGGAUGGCAUCUUGCUUUGCCUAAGUGGGUUCUGACACGUCGCUGUUUCUUCUCAUUAAAAAGAAAAACAAAAACACAAAUCUAAGUAAUGUGUGCCCAGCACCCACCACAGAUGUUUGUGUCUUCAGCGUGUACCCAACCCCAUGCUGAGCAGCAGGGAUGUCAGGUAAACCCAUCCACGGGAGCCCAGAGUCAGCCCAUACUGAGAGGUCAAACCAGGGACAGGGUGCUCUUAGGGUCAUGGACAUAACGGACGUCAAACAGGUUUGAGACAUGGCCACAGCCUUUAUUUCUUGCUUCCGACAAAGCGGUUCUCUGCUGAAGCAGGACAAAAGCCACUAUUCCCUGUGGCGGCCUAGGGCCCUGGAGUUGGACACAAGCAUGGCAGAUAGCUAAGCUCAAACUUAAGCUCUAUUUGCCUGCUUCCUCCCAACCCCGCCCCCUUCCCACAACCCCGCCCCUUCCCACAACCCCGCCCCCUCCAUAACCCCGCCCCUUUCCUCCAACCCUGCUCCACUCACAACAGCCAGAGCGAGCAUUAAUCAAGGCCAUAACCCCAGUGCUCGCUUCGGCAGCACAUAUGCUAAAUACAGAGAAAAUUAACGUUGCCCCCGUGCAAGGAUGACACACAAGUUUGUGAAGGGGUCCGUGUUUUUACUUAUAUGUGAAAUCUAAAAUACAGCACAGAACCAUGAGGUUGCGGGUUGGAUCCCUGGCCUCGUUCCGGCGUUGCGGUGAGCUAUGGGGUAGGUCACAGAUGUGGCUCAGAUCCGGCACUGAUGUGGCUGUGGCGUAGGCUGGCAGCUGUAGCUCCCGUUGGACCCCUAUCCUGGAAUGUCCAUAUGCUGUGGGUAAGGCCCUAAAAAGCAAAAAAAAAUAAAAAUAAAAUAAAAUAUGGCACAAGUGAUACUAUCCACAAAGCAAAAACUGCCAGGGGUUAGCGGGGAGGGAGUGGGAUGGAUGGGGAGUAUGGGGUUGAUGGACGCAAACAGUAACAUUUGCAAGAGUCGGCAAUGGGCUUCUACUGUUCAGCAGAGGGAACUGUAUGUGACUGGGUCACUUUGCUGGACAACAGAAAUUGAAGAAACAUUGUAAGUCAACUGUAAUAAAAUUUAAAAAAGACCAUCACCGCACAGUUUUUGUCACAUGCCAGCUAAAACCCUUCACAAAUGCCCUGCUGCCCUCAGAAUAGAGUCCAAAAAUCCUUAAUGUGGCCCACCAGCCCUCCCACCACUGCUGAGCCCAGCUUGCUUUUGUACGCCCGUCCCCUCCCUAAUUCACCUUCAUCCCCACCCCCACCCCCACCAAGAGCCCUUGCCAGGUCGACAAGGAACAAGGAAAGAAGGGCAUUUGGAUGGCAGGAACUGCCAGGCAAAUAGAGAUAUGGGAGAGUUUGCACCUUCAAAUACACUAGGAUGUGCCAGAAAAGCCGAGAUCCUGGGUGCUGUGGCUCCUUCCUUCCAUCCCCUGACUCUGUUUACAC
rnacentral:lncRNA from 1 species